rnacentral:rRNA from 1 species
GAUGAACGCUAGCGGCAGGCUUAAUACAUGCAAGUCGAGGGGCAGCACGGUUAGCAAUAACUGGUGGCGACCGGCGCACGGGUGCGUAACACGUAUACAAUCUACCUUAAACAGGGGGAUAGCCUUUCGAAAGAGAGAUUAAUACCCCGUAAUAAAUUGAACGGCAUCGUUUGAUUUUUGAAAGCUCCGGCGGUUUGAGAUGAGUAUGCGUCUGAUUAGCUAGUUGGUGAGGUAACGGCUCACCAAGGCGACGAUCAGUAGGGGAUCUGAGAGGACUAACCCCCACACUGGUACUGAGACACGGGCCAGACUCCUACGGGAGGCAGCAGUAGGGAAUAUUGGUCAAUGGGGGCAACCCUGAACCAGCCAUGCCGCGUGCAGGAUAAGGCCCUAUGGGUCGUAAACUGCUUUUGAACGGGAAGAAAUCUAUUUACGUGUAAAUAGUUGACGGUACCGUUAGAAUAAGGAUCGGCUAACUUCGUGCCAGCAGCCGCGGUAAU